AGCCUAGCCAGUCAGCCAGCUAAUCAGUCAGACAGUCGGUCAGAAAGCCUGUCAGUCAGACAGUUAGUAGGUGUUAGAUCCCAUCGCCGUGCCAGCUGGUAGAGUCAGUCAGUUAUGUAAUCAGCUGGUACAGUCAGUCAGAGUUAGGGCUAGAUCCCAUCCUCGGCUGGUACACUCAGUCAGUACGUGAUAGAUCCCAUCCUCGGCUGGCACACUCAGUCAGUAGCUGCUAGAUCCCACAUCCAGCUGGUACAGUCAGUCAGUCAGUCAGUCAGUCAGUAGGUGCUAUAGCCUACUUCCAGCGGGUACAGUCAGUCAGUCAGUAGAUGUUAUAUCCCAUGUCUAGCUGGUACAGUCAGUCAGUCAGUAGGUGCUAGAUCCCACAUCCAUCCGGUACAGUCAGUAAGUCAGUAGAUGUUAUAUCCCAUGUCCUGCUGGUACAGUCAGUCAGUAGGUGCUAGAUCCCGUGUCCAGCUGGUACAGUCAGUCAAUAGGUGCUAGAUCCCGUGUCCAGCUGGUACAGUCAGUCAAUAGGUGCUAGAUCCUAUGUCCAUCUGGUACAGUCAGUCAGUAGGUGCUAGAUCCCACAUCCAUCCGGUACAGUCAGUAAGUCAGUAGAUGUUAUAUCCCAUGUCCUGCUGGUACAGUCAGUAAGUAGGUGCUAGAUCCCGUGUCCAGCUGGUACAGUCAGUCAAUAGGUGCUAGAUCCCGUGUCCAGCUGGUACAGUCAGUCAAUAGGUGCUAGAUCCCGUGUCCAGCUGGUACAGUCAGUCAAUAGGUGCUAGAUCCUAUGUCCAUCUGGUACAGUCAGUCAAUAGGUGCUAGAUCCCGUGUCCAGCUGGUACAGUCAGUCAAUAGGUGCUAGAUCCUAUGUCCAGCUGGUACAGUCAGUCAAUAGGUGCUAGAUCCCGUGUCCAGCUGGUACAGUCAGUCAAUAGGUGCUAGAUCCCGUGUCCAGCUGGUACAGUCAGUCAGUAGGUGCUAGAUCCCACAUCCAUCCGGUACAGUCAGUAAGUCAGUAGAUGUUAUAUCCCAUGUCCUGCUGGUACAGUCAGUCAGUAGGUGCUAGAUCCCGUGUCCAGCUGGUACAGUCAGUCAAUAGGUGCUAGAUCCCGUGUCCAGCUGGUACAGUCAGUCAGUAGGUGCUAGAUCCCACAUCCAUCCGGUACAGUCAGUAAGUCAGUAGAUGUUAUAUCCCAUGUCCUGCUGGUACAGUCAGUCAAUAGGUGCUAGAUCCCGUGUCCUGCUGGUACAGUCAGUCAGUAGGUGCUAGAUCCCGUGUCCAGCUGGUACAGUCAGUCAAUAGGUGCUAGAAUCUCUCUUCAGCUGGUACAGUCAGUCAUUCAGUCAGUAGAUGUUAUAUCCCACAUCCAUCCGGUACAGUCAGUAAGUCAGAAGAUGUUAUAUCCCAUGUCCUGCUGGUACAGUCAGUCAGUAGGUGCUAGAUCCCGUGUCCAGCUGGUACAGUCAGUCAGUAGGUGCUAGAUCCCGUGUCCAGCUGGUACAGUCAGUCAGUAGGUGUUAGAACCUCUC